rnacentral:misc_RNA from 1 species
GAUGAAGAACGCAGCGAAAUGCGAUACUUGGUGUGAAUUGCAGAAUCCCGUGAACCAUCGAGUCUUUGAACGCAAGUUGCGCCCGAAGCCUCGGCUAAGGGCACGUCUGCCUGGGCGUCACGCAUCGCGUCUCCCCCAAACCGCCAAGGCGGAGGGGAAGGAAGAUGGCUUCCCGUGCCUCACCCGGCGCGGUUGGCCUAAAUUUGGAGCCCGCGGCACUUAGCUCUCGCGGCGAUAGGUGGUGAACAAGGCCUUGGCCGUGCAAACAACCCGCUGCGAAGCUCUAUGUCACGUGCGCUCGUCGGACCCUUUGAAGUUGCCUUCGGUGACUUAAAACCUUUGCGACCCCAGGUCAGGCGGGGCUACCCGCUGAAUUUAAGCAUAUCAAUAAGCGGACGA